rnacentral:rRNA from 1 species
CAAGUCGAACGGUAAGGCCCCUUCGGGGGUACACGAGUGGCAGACGGCUGAGUAAUACGUAGGAAUCUACCCUGUACACAUGAAUAACUCCGAGAAAUCGGAGCUAAUGCAUGAUGGUCUCUUCGGAGUAAAGCUUUUGCGGUACAGGAUGAGCCUGCGGCUUAUCAGGUAGUUGGUAGGGUAAAUGCCUACCAAGCCUAUGACGAGUAACUGGUCUGAGAGGAUGGUCAGUCAGAAUGGGACUGCGACACGGCCCAUACUCCUACGGGAGGCAGCAAUUAGGAAUCUUGCGCAAUGGACGAAAGUCUGACGCAGCGACGCCGCGUGGAGGAUGAAGUAUUUCGGUAUGUAAACUCCUUUUAUCGGGGAACAAGUUCUGAGUGUACCCGAUGAAUGAGGACCCCCUAACUAUGUGCCAGAAGGGUCGGUGAUGCAUAGGGUCCAAGCGUUAUCCGGAAUUACUGGGCGUAAAGAGAAGCGUAGGCGUUCUCUCAAGUUCUUCGUGAAAUCUCACAGCUCAACUGUGAACACGCGGAGAAAACUAGGAGAAUAGAGGAAGUUAGAGGAAAGCAGAAUUCCUGGUGGAGCGGUGAAAUGCGUUGAUAUCAGGAGGAAUACCUGGGGCGAAGGCAGCUUUCUGGGACUUUCCUGACGCUAAGGCUCGAAAGCGUGGGUAGCAAAACGGAUUAGAUACCCGUGUAGUCCACGCCGUAAACGAUCCCUGCUAGAUGUCUGAUCGAAACAGAGUUUUGACUUCGGUUAAAGCAAAGCUUCGAAUGGGUAUCACAGCUAACGCAUUAAGCAGGGCGCCUGGGGAGUACGGCCGCAAGGUUAAAACUCAAAGGAAUUGACGGGGACUCGCACAAGCAGUGGAGCGUUUGGUUUAAUUCGAUGCUAAACGAAGAACCUUACCAGGGCUUGAACUGUAGCUGCACGCUUCCCGAAAAGGAAGAAGCUCUCGAGGGUGCUACAGAGGUGCUGCAUGGCUGUCGUCAGCUCGUGUCGUGAGAUGUUGGGUUAAGUCCCACAACGAGCGCAACCCUUAUCCAGUGUUAUAAUUUCUCUGGAAACUGCCUUGCCAAAACGAGGAGGAAGGUGGGGACGACGUCUAGUCAUCAUAGCCCUUAUGUCCUGGGCUACACAAGCGCUACAAUGGGCAGUACAACGAGUAGCCAAACCGCAAGGUGGAGCUAAUCUCCCAAAACUGUUCUCAGUUCGGAUUGCAGGCUGAAAUUCGCCUGUAUGAAGUUGGAAUUGCUAGUAAUCGUGGAUCAGCAGGCCGCGGUGAAUACGUUCUCGAGUCUUGUACACACCGCCUGUCAAGUCACGGAAGUUGGUCUUACCCGAAGCGUUUCUUUAUGAAGUUCGACGGUAGGGCUGGCGACCAGGGCUAAGUCAAAACAAGGUA